rnacentral:rRNA from 1 species
CCUACGGGUGGCAGCAGUAGGGAAUCUUCCACAAUGGGCGCAAGCCUGAUGGAGCAACGCCGCGUGGGUGAAGAAGGUCUUCGGAUCGUAAAACCCUGUUGUUAGAGAAGAAAGUGCGUGAGAGUAACUGUUUACGUUUCGACGGUAUCUAACCAGAAAGCCACGGCUAACUACGUGCCAGCAGCCGCGGUAAUACGUAGGUGGCAAGCGUUAUCCGGAUUUAUUGGGCGUAAAGGGAACGCAGGCGGUCUUUUAAGUCUGAUGUGAAAGCCUUCGGCUUAACCGGAGUAGUGCAUUGGAAACUGGGAGACUUGAGUGCAGAAGAGGAGAGUGGAACUCCAGGUGUAGCGGUGAAAUGCGUAGAUAUAUGGAAGAACACCGGUGGCGAAGGCGGCUCUCUGGACUGUAACUGACGCUGAGGUUCGAAAGCGUGGGUAGCAAACAGGAUUAGAUACCCGAGUAGUC